UUCGUAGGCGGUCCUUUAAGUCAGAAGUGAAAGGCAGUGGCUCAACCAUUGUAAGCUUUUGAAACUGGAGGACUUGAGUGUUGGAGAGGAAAGCGGAAUUCCUAGUGUAGCGGUGAAAUGCGUAGAUAUUAGGAGGAACACCAGUGGCGAAGGCGGCUUUCUGGACAAAUACUGACGCUGAGGAACGAAAGCGUGGGGAGCGAACA
rnacentral:rRNA from 1 species